rnacentral:rRNA from 1 species
UACGUAGGGGGGCAAGCGUUGUCCGGAAUCAUUGGGCGUAAAGAGCGUGUAGGCGGCCAGAAAAGUCCGCUGUGAAAACUGGAGGCUCAACCUCCAGACGUCGACGGAAACCGUGUGGCUAGAGUCCGGAAGAGGAGAGUGGAAUUCCUGGUGUAGCGGUGAAAUGCGCAGAUAUCAGGAAGAACACCAAUGGCGAAGGCAGCUCUCUGGGACGGUACUGACGCUGAGACGCGAAAGCGUGGGGGAGCAAACAGG